rnacentral:rRNA from 1 species
GAUGAACGCUGGCGGCGUGCCUAACACAUGCAAGUCGAGCGAUUCUCUUCGGAGAAGAGCGGCGGACGGGUGAGUAACGCGUGGGUAACCUGCCCUGUACACACGGAUAACAUACCGAAAGGUAUGCUAAUACGAGAUAAUAUGCUUUUAUCGCAUGGUAGAAGUAUCAAAGCUCCGGCGGUACAGGAUGGACCCGCGUCUGAUUAGCUAGUUGGUAAGGUAACGGCUUACCAAGGCGACGAUCAGUAGCCGACCUGAGAGGGUGAUCGGCCACAUUGGAACUGAGACACGGUCCAAACUCCUACGGGAGGCAGCAGUGGGGAAUAUUGGGCAAUGGGCGAAAGCCUGACCCAGCAACGCCGCGUGGAGGAAGAAGGUUUUCGGAUCGUAAACUCCUGUCCUCAGGGAAGAGAAGAAGACGGUACCUGAGGAGGAAG